GUGGGGAAUAUUGGACAAUGGGGGGAACCCUGAUCCAGCCAUGCCGCGUGUGUGAAGAAGGCCUUUUGGUUGUAAAGCACUUUAAGCGAGGAGGAGGCUACCGAGAUUAAUACUCUUGGAUAGUGGACGUUACUCGCAGAAUAAGCACCGGCUAACUCUGUGCCAGCAGCCGCGGUAAUACAGAGGGUGCGAGCGUUAAUCGGAUUUACUGGGCGUAAAGCGUGCGUAGGCGGCUUUUUAAGUCGGAUGUGAAAUCCCCGAGCUUAACUUGGGAAUUGCAUUAGAUACUGGGAAGCUAGAGUAUGGGAGAGGAUGGUAGAAUUCCAGGUGUAGCGGUGAAAUGCGUAGAGAUCUGGAGGAAUACCGAUGGCGAAGGCAGCCAUCUGGCCUAAUACUGACGCUGAGGUACGAAAGCAUGGGGAGCAAACAGGAUUAGAAACCCCGGUAGUCC
rnacentral:rRNA from 1 species